AAUGGUAGAAUGGCUGACCACAGC
rnacentral:piRNA from 1 species